rnacentral:misc_RNA from 1 species
CCCUCCCCUAAAUCACUCCAAAAAAAACAAUCCCCAAUUCUACACAAGUGUUUCUACACUAACAAAGCAACAGCUCCUUAACGAAUUCCCAACUUUACACGAGCUCGUCUCGAGGUUAAAUGUUAUUACUUGGUAAGAUUCCGGACCUCGCCAAGUGUUUUGAAAACCCGCAACGCUCGCAAAGGUGCAUAGUGAGAAUAAUAAGUGAAGAGACAGACUUGUCCAAAACGCCCACCACGAAGGUGCAUAGUGAGAAGAGUAAGUCAAGAGAUAGACUUGUCCAAAAAGAAACGGAAGAGAAAGCUUGGGGAGACGCUCACGAAGGUGCAUAGUGAGAAGAGUAAGUCAAGAGAUAGACUUGUUCAAAAAGAAACAGAAGAGAAUGCUUGGGGUUACACUCACGAAGGUGCAUAGUGAGAAGAGUAAGUCAAGAGACAGACUUGUUCAAAAAGAAACGAAAGAGAAUGCUUGGGGAGAUAGAAGUGUGAGAUAGUUCUCAAGCUAAGAAAGUUGUAAAAGCUAAGAACUAGCAAGUAAUCGUCCAGGAUUCCUCCACCAGGACUUGAAAUCGUCGAGGGAAAAAAAUCGGUUCCGAGGAAUCGUCGAUCCGGACUUGGAAUCGUCGAGAAAAGUUUACCGGGUCCGAGGAUUUGUCGACCAGGAGUGGAAAUCGUCGAGAAAAAUCUAUCGGGUCCGAGGAAUCGUCGACCAGGACGAGGAAUCGUCGACCGGGUCCGAGGAUUUGUCGACCAGGGGUUGAAAUCGUCGACCAGGUCCGAGACUUCAUCGACCGGGUCCGAGGAUUCGUCGAC